rnacentral:tRNA from 1 species
GCCUCUGUAGCUCAGCUGGAUAGAGUAACCCUCUCCUAAAGGGUAGGUCGCAGGUUCAAAUCCUGUCAGGGGCACCA